AACUGGAGGAAGGUGGGGAUGACGUCAAAUCAUCAUGCCCCUUAUGACUGGGCUACACACGUGCUACAAUGGCUGGUACAACGAGUCGCGAGUCGGUGACGACAAGCUAAUCUCUUAAAGCCAGUCUCAGUUCGGAUUGUAGGCUGCAACUCGCCUACAUGAAGUCGGAAUCGCUAGUAAUCGCGGAUCAGCACGCCGCGGUGAAUACGUUCCCGGGCCUUGUACACACCGCCCGUCACACCACGAGAGUUUGUAACACCCGAAGUCGGUGAGGUAACCAUUUGGAGCCAGCCGCCUAAGGUGGGAUAGAUGAUUGGGGUGAAGUCGUAACAAGGUAGCCAGGAUCAAACUCU
rnacentral:rRNA from 1 species